rnacentral:rRNA from 1 species
CGAGCGAACAGAUAAGGAGCUUGCUCCUUUGACGUUAGCGGCGGACGGGUGAGUAACACGUGGGUAACCUACCUAUAAGACUGGGAUAACUUCGGGAAACCGGAGCUAAUACCGGAUAACAUUUGGAACCGCAUGGUUCUAAAGUGAAAGAUGGUUUUGCUAUCACUUAUAGAUGGACCCGCGCCGUAUUAGCUAGUUGGUAAGGUAACGGCUUACCAAGGCGACGAUACGUAGCCGACCUGAGAGGGUGAUCGGCCACACUGGAACUGAGACACGGUCCAGACUCCUACGGGAGGCAGCAGUAGGGAAUCUUCCGCAAUGGGCGAAAGCCUGACGGAGCAACGCCGCGUGAGUGAUGAAGGGUUUCGGCUCGUAAAACUCUGUUAUUAGGGAAGAACAAACGUGUAAGUAACUGUGCACGUCUUGACGGUACCUAAUCAGAAAGCCACGGCUAACUACGUGCCAGCAGCCGCGGUAAUACGUAGGUGGCAAGCGUUAUCCGGAAUUAUUGGGCGUAAAGCGCGCGUAGGCGGUUUCUUAAGUCUGAUGUGAAAGCCCACGGCUCAACCGUGGAGGGUCAUUGGAAACUGGGAAACUUGAGUGCAGAAGAGGAAAGUGGAAUUCCAUGUGUAGCGGUGAAAUGCGCAGAGAUAUGGAGGAACACCAGUGGCGAAGGCGACUUUCUGGUCUGUAACUGACGCUGAUGUGCGAAAGCGUGGGGAUCAAACAGGAUUAGAUACCCUGGUAGUCCACGCCGUAAACGAUGAGUGCUAAGUGUUAG